AUCCCAUGAUGAGGACACUGCCUUUGUAAACGUUUAAACCUUCUCCAAGAUUCAUACAAUGACUCAUCAUCGGUUUGACGAAAGGUGGUUAGCUCAUUUCUUAGCCU
rfam:Spinacia oleracea cultivar SynViroflay scaffold2342.con0002.1, whole genome shotgun sequence.